CAACAAAGGCAAAGGAAAAAAAAAAAAGACCAAGGGAACAGAAGGGGAGGGAGCCACGUUGGCCGGCCGUGGGCAGCUGGGGGCUGAGGGAAGCCCAUGACGAGGCUUUGCCGGCCUUGACCACGCGAUGCUGUGAGACCUCCAGAAGUGUGCAGGCCAUACAGGGCACCAAGGCCUGGGCGUGAGAGGCAAACGUGGGGCCCCCGGGAUGACAGUGAUGAAGCGGUGGGUGUGGAUAGAGCCAUGGCCCCAGAGAGUGCCAGGAUGCUGAGGCUGAAGGGUUGGGGAAAAGGGAGCCCGCCAGGGACAGGGAAGGGCAGCCAGAGAAGGAGAUGAGGAGCAGAGGGGUCAGGGGUCCUAGAAGGAGGGGAGCUGGGCACUGCAGACAGGGCCGUGUGACCAGGAGUAGAGCUACGUGGGACCCUGCCUUGUGGCGUGGUGGGCGAGAAGUCAGACUGCAGCGGGCUGAGGCCCGGGAGGCUGGGAAAUGGGGUGCCGCUUUUCUUUUCUUUCUUUGCACUCCUGUCUUCCCUUUCAGUCCCUGCCUCUCCCUCUCUCUUCCGUGUGACUUUGUCCUUCUCCAUCCUGCUCCUCUCUGGAGCUCUUUUUUCUGGAUCGCUUUGUCUUUUUGCUCGCUGCCCCCCUUUCCUGUCUCCCCAGGGGACCUGAGCCACUAGAUGUCCACAACCAGGCUGGGCGCCCACCUGUCUUCCAGAGCAAGUCCUCAGCCCAGCCUCCUGAGGGGGAAGCUUGAUUUCCAGUCCUGGCCAGAUCCUGCCCCAUUCUCUGGGACGCCUCAGCCCAAGGGGGACAACUUGGGGCAGAGGAAACAGGGAAUAGGCUGGCACGGGAAGGGCUGGAGUGUGGCCCGCAGGUGACACCAGGAUCAAGGUGGCCCCGGGCUCCUGUGCCAACACUGCCCAUCCCCCAAGGUGAGAACACGCUGGGGCAGGAGUUGUUGGGCUUGGGGACCUCAGUCCUCGCUGCUGCUCUGUGGCCAUCACACCUGAGGGUCAGUCCCCACCCAUCCUCCAAGUCCCCAGGCGGGGCUCUGUGAGCUGCAGCCGCAGCCCUAGCCCCUCACAGUCAGAGGGCAGAGAAAGUUCUGCUUGAGGCUUGGAUGAGUGGGCAAUUGGAUUUUUAUUUACUCCUUUCUGGUUUGGUUCAGCUCUGGGCUUAUUUGAUCUCAUUUCCGGUCCUCAAUUCCUUGCUCCCUUCCUAUUUUCUAUGCGUUUGCCUCUUCCCGUCCCUCUUCAUCUCUCCCUCUCUCCCUCAGCCUUUUCCCUCUUCAUGGACUUUGCUUCCUUCUCUUAGUUUUCUCUUCCCAUCCCUCUGCCCCUGAGCAUUGUCCCACCCCUCCACCCACGCACUCCUUUCUCCUCCUCCUUUCUCUCUCUCUCCCUGUUCUCUUCCGGUGUGGUGUCUGCUUCUGCAGGCUCUGGAUUUCUGGUGCCUCCAUCCCAUCCUGGGGGGCGGCACUCUGCCCCUGCCAGAGGCAAAGGUGGCUGCAGCUGAGGAGAAGGAGGAGGAGGGGGAGGAGGAGGAGGAGGAGGGGGAGGGGGAGGAGCGCACCCAGCAGUGGGCUUGCAUCACAACCAGGCUUCUGGUUCAUGUGUGGGGAGACAAACACAAAGACUCCUCUUGGCCCCAGUCUCCUGGGCUUUCUCCAGGCAACCCUGGGAUUCCGGAGUUUUGGGGGCAGGACCUAGUAGGGGACAGGAAGUGGGGGGAUCUUGAUCUGCUCACUUGCACCAGCCCUGGGCCAAGGACCUCUUUGGACAGUUUGGCUCAAAUGUAGAAAGAAGCCAGUCUGGAUAAGAUGGCCCGUCCUCUCCUCCAAGGCUACUGCCCCUGCAUUUUGCAUCAUCUGCUGAUGUAGUCACUAAACCACACUAGGUGCCAUGCCCUUUGCUGGGCAUUUGGUGGGCAAUAUAGACCCUGUGUCUUCCCUUAUGAAUCUUAUGUCUGAGAAAGAGACAGACAUGAGCAAAAUCCAUGAAUAAGCAAAGAGCUGCAUCUGUAAGGCUAUGAAGUGGCUCCAGUCUAGUCCUGGGGACUCUGGACAGGUUGAUGGCUGAGUGGAGAUGACUUAGGGGAGUGGUAGGGCAGGGCAGGGAGAUGAACUAGCUGGCUGGUUCCGAAUGCGCAAAGGCCCUGGGGCAGGAGGAGCCCAGCAGGUUCUAAACACUGGAGGAAUCGUGAGACAGCCAGUGUGACUGCAGCUCACAGAGCAAAGGCUGGCAGGCCAGAGAGGCCAAAUGAGAGGAUUCAUUCUCUAUCCUUCCUGCUCUGGACCCCCGGGGAGGUCAUAGUCAGGUCUGCACUGGGGGAGCCCACAGUGCUGCCUGAAAGGAGGAAGUGCUGCAGGGGAUGGAGGAGCAGCAGAGAGGCUCCUGGGGUAGCCCAGGUGACUAUUCUUGGACCAGACUAAUAGGAGUGGAAGAGGUGGGGAGGGACAGGCUCAAAGGCCCUGGGGAAGAGAAUUCGCAGGUGUGGGGCUGGAUUGGGUGGGGUGGGGUGAGGGGCAGAGCACCCUGAGUCUGUGCAUCUCUAGUUGAUGCAAUUAGGGCACAGCUUCUGCCCGCCUCCGGGGGACCAGCCUGGGGACCUGGGACCCACAGCGCCUGCCCUCAGAGCGGGGAGCUGGAAGUGUCUUUCGGCUGAAGUAGCCCUGGCUGUGGAGUUUUCGCAGGUUCCUUCAUCUCUCUGAUCCUCUUUUCCCUAAUCUGUGAAGUGGGGACCGAGAAGCCCAUCUUGCAGUUCUGGGUCCUGCUCAGUAAAGUGGAAGCUUCCAGAGACGCCCAGGUGUUGAAACGGCUUUGCAGGGGGGCUUUGCAGCUGCACCCGGGCUGGGCAGGUGACAGGGCCCCAUGCAGAAUCCGAAUGUCAGGGAAGACCACACCGCGCCUGGAAGCCCAACACAGCCGAGAGAGAAACAGACAAUCAAGGCAUUGAAAAAGUGGAGGAGAAGCCUGGAAAAACUGGCUGGGGCCAAUGUCUAGAGGUAUGGGACUCCGGAUUCUCAUUCUGAAGGCCACAGGGAGCCAGUAACAGCUCUUGAGCAGGGCAUGGUUUGAUCCUUUUGCCAAGGAUUUGUCACCUUGGAGACAGCAGACGGACUCAGGUAAAAAUCUGGGGCUCUGCGGGGAGGGGAAGGUGGUGGGAUUUGCAGUUCUGGGAUUGACAAGAAAACAGGACAUGAGGCCAGGUAAAUAGGUAGACCAGAUGGCCCCUCCAAAGUUCACGUUCUGUCUCUCCUGCAAUCCAGUGUUCUAGUUUCCAGGUAGGAAUUUCGUGGCAUAGGCGAAGCCACUGAGGCACAGAAAAGGCCAAUCACCGCCCCAGGUCACGCAGCUAGGGUUGAGGCCUUGGAUGUAAGAUCCCUGCUGCACUCAUUUCAAGACUCCGGGUAGCAUGGGCUCCAGCUGCCUGGCCAGGCCUGCAGAUGGGGAUGAGGGCCAGCUGAUGGGGGACAGUCUUCUGGAGCCCCUCUCUGUAGAGCCAUGUGGCCCGAGGGGGAAGGGAGCCUGGUGGGCAGGGAGGAGCUGCCACAUGGAAGAGGCUUGAUGGGAACCAUCUGGCCUGUGCUGGGAGUGUGGGCUGCAGGAGGAGGGCGGGGCAGGAGGUGGGCAGGAGGCCAUGGUGGGCUGGGCCGGCCCGCUGGUGGAUGGCGGCCGGGGCUGGGAGCGGUGGCCCAGAGGCCCCUGCCUUCCAGACGGCUGUAGCCCAGAUGCCUUUGCAGCCGGCCUGGCCCCGUCCAACCCGCUGACCUCAUUCCCAGCGCCUCCUCCCUCCUCGCAGGCUCCUCGCCUGCCUGCCACGUAGACUCGGCCACAGGGGGAAGGAGAGUGGGACCCAGGUGCCCUGAGCCCAGAGCCCUGCCAGGACCUACAGAGCUGUGGGCAGCCGCUGUGACCACUUGGGGCCUCAGUUUCCUCUCCCCAAACAUGAGGUCCGGUAAAUGAGGGGGACUGGGGUGAUGGGAGAAGCCAGAUGAGAAGCAGGGUGGAGUGAGGAGCGGGGAACCAAGGGGGCUUCCUGGACUCGUGAGAGCCUUCCCCGCCUUCUGGGCUCCCGGGUGCUGUCCUCACAUCUCAGCAUCGCACUGGCUGUUGGGUGCAGAGAGCAGCACGCUGUCCCCUGUCGGGCUCCUCAGAGCCCCCCAUCCUGCCCCCCGGCCCGGCGUAUCUGCCUCCCUGCCCCCCAGGUCCUGGUGUUACUGUCCUGAGGAGCUGGGGCUGUCCCUGCCGUCUGCCCAGGCGUUCCCGGCCGGUGAGUCAUCGGGAAUGUCUGCUCUGGCUGCAGUUUCCCCCCUGGCCAGGGACCCUCUCCCUCCUCGCCGGAACUCAGAGUAGAGGGUGCUGCUCCCAGGCAGGGGCUGGGGUGGGAGGAACCCAAGCCCAAGGCUGCCCUGAGGCCCCGGUCCCCCACAGGCAGGAAAGGCAGAAGGGGACUGGGGCCUCCAGAGGCCAUGUCCCCAUCACAGAUAGACAGCCUGUCCUGGUGCCUGCUUCCCAGGCAGGGACACCAAGGAAAGCAGCUCGGUGAGGCCCAGACAGAGUUUGAUGUGCUCAGGCUCCCAACACCACACUGUUCGGGGCUCAGCUUUGCAGAACUGGGAGUCUGCUCAAGCCUCUUUUGGAAGGGCCCUCCCCAGUCAGCUGGGCCUGGCAGGAAAGCUGGAGAGGCCGCCCCUCCACGGAUGAGGCAUCCUGGCUGGGGUGCGGUGUCCACGUCCACAGGAGAGGGGGGCCCUGGAUCAGUUUUUGUUUGUUUGUUUGUUUUUGAGACAGGGUCUCACUAUGUAGCCCAUGCUGGCCUUGAAAUCACUGCGUAGUCCAGGCUGGCCUCAAUAUCACAGCAAUCAUCCUGCCUCAGCCUCCUAAGUGCUGGGAUUACAGGUGUGGAGCACCAUACCCAGCUGGAUUUGUUGUUUAGAGAGCUAGGUUCAGUGCCUGAGUCGUCUACUGACUGUGAGCAUUCACAUCCCAGUACUGUGCCUCAGUUUCCCCAUCGGUAAAACAAGGGGGCUGGACAGAAAGAGUUUCCACUCUCGGAUUAAUCUAUGAUUCUGUGUCUUCCCACUGAGACCGACCCUUGCACUCACAUACACACUCACAGAUACACUCUUCACUCCUACAUUUGGGCACAAUUUUUGUUCCCUUCUGCCUGAGGGCUCCCACACCCCACAUUGUCACCAUUGCUUCUCCUCCUGAGGUCACAGGCAGGACAAAGGUGAGCCACAGCAGAAGCUGAGAGGUUUGUGCUCCAGAGUGUCAGACCUUCAGCUCCCUCAAGGGUCCCACCUCUGCGGUUUGGGGUGGGAGGGGCCGGGGACGGAGCAGAGAAAGUCUCGCUUGUUCCCACCCAGCUGGGCACCUGCACAAGGGUGGCCCUCGCUUUUCCUUCCCGGACAUCACUAGCUCUCCCUUCCAAAAACUCCGGUCCCCCGGACACCCAGGGACCUCCUCCACCCUCAGGCCAUCUUUGCAGCUUGGCCUGGCUCUGGCCCCAGGCUGCACCCUUCGAGGAACUUCUGCUGAGGAGCUGCUCAGAGCUCGGAAGGACCUUCCCGAGAGGAGAGGAGGAGAGAGAGACACAGAGAGAGAGGUGGAGCCAGUUUCCUGGAGUCACAGAGCUGGGAAGUAGCUGCACUGAGAUGAAAACCCAGAAAGUCUCAUGCUUCACUCAGAGACCCAGGACGGAUGCCAAGUGGACCACCCCACCCCACUGCAGAAGUGGCUGUUUGCAGGAAUGCGCUGUCUCCUCUUGGGCUCAUGCACGGGAAGGACCACAGCAUAACGUGGCUGAAACUGACCACAGGCACUAGCCGAGUGGCCAGUCCCAGCUACCCCGCCCUGCCUCCCGUCUGCCCAGGGGCUACUGUGAGCUGACCACACCACGACACACACAGCAUCUCAUUUAUUUCAUUAAAAAAAAACUCUCCCUCCAUUUAUUUUCCUUUUCUUUUUUCUCUAUUUUUCAUUAGUGUAUAUUUGUGACAUAAGAAAUGCAUUCAUCAUGGGGAAUCGGCACCUAUACAAACUCUGGUCUUAAUCCUUUUUACUCCCUUUCUCUCCCCACUCUCCUAUCUCCACCACCCUCAGACUCCCCCUCCCCUCCUUUGCUUUGAUUUAUUGAUCCUUUGUAUUGGGUUUUUUGGUACCGGGGAUCGAACUCGGGUCCUUGUGCUUGAGCAGCAGGCAACGAAACCACUAAGCUAAAUCCCAGGCCCUGUAUUGGUUUUUAAUCUCAAUUCAUUAAUUUCCAUUCUGAUCAUUACAAUCUCUUUCCUUCUAUUAGUUUCAGAGUUGGGUUGCUCUUGUCUUUCUAGGACCUUAAGAUGCAUCCUCAGAUUAUUUAUUUGGGAUCACUCUAUUAGGCCCUAACCUUCCCUCUCAGAACUGCUUUCAUUGAGUUCCACAGGUCUUGAUAUGUUGUGCUUUCAUUGUCCUUUGAUUCUAGGAACUUGUAAAUGUCUUCUGUGAUCCGUGGAUUAUUCAAUAGCAUAUUCUUUAAUCUCCCUGUAUUUGAGUAAAAUAGUUUCUGUGGCUUCUUUUCCUGUUGAUUUCUACCUUCACUCCAAUAUGGCCCCAUGGUAUGCAGGGGAUUAUUUCAGUUCUUUUGUACUUAUUUAAGCAGAUUUUGUGGCCUGAGAUAAUGUCUAUUUUGGAAAAAUCUCUGUGUACAAUGUCUCAUUUACUCUUCAGAAUGGCUCUGGGAGAUCAGCUAAUACCUCUACUUUACAAAAGGAGACCCUGUGGCCCAGAAGGGCCAAGGCAUUGCCCAAGGACUCCUUCUUAGAGCUGAGAGAACCCAGCAGCCCCAAAGCUGGAACAGCCUGUGAGUCCCCUAGUGCAGAUCCACACUGCACAUGCAUGGACCAUGCACACCCCCCACCCCCUAGCGAGACCCUGCCUACCAAGUUCCACGCAGUGCUUCAUUCCUUCUUGUGGACAGUGCCCUGAGGAAGGACAUUCUGUAAGUGAGGGGACCCUAGCCCAGCCCAGAAGCACCCUGCACAUACCACAACCCAUGAUUACGCAUGCAUGGAGCUGUUACACGACAACCAAACCACUAUAAGAGCCCCACGGUAAAAGCUAAAGGUUCUAGGUGUUUUCUGGGUGUUGGCUCCUGUUCACUGAAUGGCCUAU
rnacentral:lncRNA from 1 species